rnacentral:rRNA from 1 species
CCUACGGGAGGCAGCAGUGGGGAAUAUUGGACAAUGGGGGCAACCCUGAUCCAGCCAUGCCGCGUGUGUGAAGAAGGCCCUCGGGUUGUAAAGCACUUUCAGUGAGGAAGAACGCCUGGUGGUUAAUACCCAUCAGGAAAGACAUCACUCACAGAAGAAGCACCGGCUAACUCCGUGCCAGCAGCCGCGGUAAUACGGAGGGUGCGAGCGUUAAUCGGAAUUACUGGGCGUAAAGCGCGCGUAGGUGGCUUGAUAAGCCGGUUGUGAAAGCCCCGGGCUCAACCUGGGAACGGCAUCUGGAACUGUCAAGCUAGAGUGCAGGAGAGGAAGGUAGAAUUCCCGGUGUAGCGGUGAAAUGCGUAGAGAUCGGGAGGAAUACCAGUGGCGAAGGCGGCCUUCUGGACUGACACUGACACUGAGGUGCGAAAGCGUGGGUAGCAAACAGGAUUAGAUACCCUAGUAGUC